rnacentral:misc_RNA from 1 species
UGGUUCUGGCAUCGAUGAAGAACGCAGCGAAAUGCGAUAAGUAAUGUGAAUUGCAGAAUUCAGUGAAUCAUCGAAUCUUUGAACGCACAUUGCGCCCAUUAGUAUUCUAGUGGGCAUGCCUGUUCGAGCGUCAUUUCAACCCUUAAGCCUCUGUUGCUUAGUGUUGGGAGCCUACAGCACCUGUAGCUCCCCAAAGUUAGUGGCGGAGUCGGUCCACACUCUAGACGUAGUAAUUUUAUCUCGCCUAUUAGUUGGACCGGUCUCCCGCCGUAAAACCCCUAUAUUUUAAAGGUUGACCUCGGAUCGGGUAGGAAUACCCGCUGA